rnacentral:rRNA from 1 species
GGGCCGCACGCGCGCUACACUGACUGAGCCAGCGAGUUUAUCACCUUAGCUGAGAAGCUUGGGUAAUCUUGUGAAACUCAGUCGUGCUGGGGAUAGAGCAUUGCAAUUAUUGCUCUUCAACGAGGAAUACCUAGUAAGCGUGAGUCAUCAGCUCGCGUUGAUUACGUCCC